rnacentral:lncRNA from 1 species
GAAUAAAUAAUUAAAUAAAACCUAAUUGUGAGAAAACUUGUAUUUAUAUUUAAUUGAUUUUAAUGUAAAGUGUUGGCUCAUAAAUAUUGUCUUUUAAAUGGUAAUGUGAUUGGUGUGUGUCUGUGUGUUGGGGCGGGGGGUCGGGAGUGAGUAGUUUAGAUUCAAUUUGGGGGAAGGAUAUUUGUAGUUUUGAGAGGUGAUGAAGGAAUGGAGGAAGCAGAUUUGUUUAAUGUUACUAUAAAAAUAGUUAAUGGUAGUAACAUGUUGUUUUGGCACGAUAUGCGGCUUAGUGGGGAGAUGGUAAACCCGCAUUUUAGUAAUUUUUUAAUUUAUUAUCAUUGGAGAAAAAUGUUAAUGUGAAGGAUAUGAUAUUACGUAUCAAGGUUGAGGUAGGUUGUUGGAGUUGGAGAAGAACUUUGUUUAUUUGGGAGGCUGAGUUGAUGACGAGUGUAAGAUUUUAUUGUCUAACAUUUCUUUGCAUGAUAGCGUUGAGGACACUUGAAUUUGGAUUCAUAAUUUUAACCAUAUGUAUUUAGUUAAAGAAGUUUAUGCAUUGAUAUCUAAUUUUAAAAUGUAUUAGAUUCCGUUAAUUGGAACAAUUUGGUUCUUCUAAAGAUCUAUUUGUUUGUGUGGAGAACUUUUCACAACCGACCUCCCACCAAAGAUAAUUUAUAACGAAGAGAGAUGCAAAAUUUAUAAGCACCUUUUUUUAUGGCCGAUUAUGAUAUGAAUGAAACAUCUUUUUUUGCGUUACAAUAUGAAUGCAACAUCUACUCACUUAUUCUUUUAUUGUCUACUUUUCAAAAAUUAUGAAUGAAUGUUUUAUCGUGUUUAAGAAUUAGUUGUGUAAUAAAAAAUAACUGUUUUACCCAUGUUAUUUGAUUGACAUGUAUUUGGAUAAUUUAGAAU